rnacentral:rRNA from 1 species
AGUGAACGCUGGCGGUAGGCCUAACACAUGCAAGUCGAACGGCAGCACAGUAAGAGCUUGCUCUUAUGGGUGGCGAGUGGCGGACGGGUGAGGAAUACAUCGGAAUCUACUUUUUCGUGGGGGAUAACGUAGGGAAACUUACGCUAAUACCUCAUACGACCUACGGGUGAAAGCAUGGGAUCUUCGGACCUUGCUCGAUUGAAUGAGCCGUUGUCGGAUUAGCUAGUGUGUGGGGUAAAGGCCCACCAAGGCGACGAUCCGUAGCUGGCUUGCGUGGAUGUUCAGCGAUACUGGAAAUGAGACAUCGUCCAGACUCGUAGGGGAGGCAGAAGUUGGGAGUAUUGGACAUCGUGCGCAAGCUUGAGCCACCCAUACCACUUGUGUGAAGAAGGCCUCCGGGUUGUAAAGCCUUUUUGUUGAGAAAGAAAAGCAGCAGGUGAAUACCGCGCUGUUCUGACGGUACCCAAAGAAUAAGCACCGGCUAGCUUCGUG